GGCAGGACGUGUUCCAACAGAUCAAAGUUCAUGGAGCCAAGAUUCAAGGUGGAUGCCAGGAAGUACUUCCUGACAGUUAGGACCCCUAGGGCAUGGGAUGGGCUUCCAUGGGAGGUGGAUGAAGCCCCAUCGUUGAGGGUGUUGAA